GAUGAACGCUGGCGGCGUGCCUAAUACAUGCAAGUCGAGCGAACAGAUGAGGAGCUUGCUCCUCUGACGUUAGCGGCGGACGGGUGAGUAACACGUGGAUAACCUACCUAUAAGACUGGGAUAACUUCGGGAAACCGGAGCUAAUACCGGAUAAUAUAUUGAACCGCAUGGUUCAAUAGUGAAAGACGGUUUUGCUGUCACUUAUAGAUGGAUCCGCGCCGCAUUAGCUAGUUGGUAAGGUAACGGCUUACCAAGGCAACGAUGCGUAGCCGACCUGAGAGGGUGAUCGGCCACACUGGAACUGAGACACGGUCAAGAAUCCUACGGGAGGCAGCAGUAGGGAAUCUUCCGCAAUGGGCGAAAGCCUGACGGAGCAACGCCGCGUGAGUGAUGAAGGUCUUCGGAUCGUAAAACUCUGUUAUUAGGGAAGAACAAAUGUGUAAGUAACUAUGCACGUCUUGACGGUACCUAAUCAGAAAGACACGGAUAACUACGUG
rnacentral:rRNA from 1 species